rnacentral:snRNA from 1 species
CUGCAUGGCCCCUGCGCAAGGAUGACACGCACAAAUCGAGAAGUGUACCAAGUUUUU